GAUGAACGCUGGCGGCGUGCUUAACACAUGCAAGUCGAACGGAAAGGCCCUGCUUGCAGGGUGCUCGAGUGGCGAACGGGUGAGUAACACGUGGGUGAUCUGCCCCUUACUUUGGGAUAAGCCUGGGAAACUGGGUCUAAUACUGGAUAGGACCAUGCUGUAGGUGGUGUGGUGGAAAGAUUAGUUUCGGUAAGGGAUGAGCUCGCGGCCUAUCAGCUUGUUGGUGGGGUAAUGGCCUACCAAGGCGUCGACGGGUAGCCGGCCUGAGAGGGUGGACGGCCACAUUGGGACUGAGAUACGGCCCAGACUCCUACGGGAGGCAGCAGUGGGGAAUAUUGCACAAUGGGCGCAAGCCUGAUGCAGCGACGCCGCGUGGGGGAUGACGGCCUUCGGGUUGUAAACUCCUUUCAGCCAUGACGAAGCCCUUGUGGUGACGGUAGUGGUAGAAGAAGCACCGGCUAACUACGUG
rnacentral:rRNA from 1 species